rnacentral:rRNA from 1 species
GACAGAGGGUGCAAACGUUGCUCGGAAUUACUGGGCGUAAAGCGCGUGUAGGCCGGUUGGUAAGUCAGAUGUGAAAUCCCUGGGCUCAACCCAGGAACUGCAUUUGAAACUGCCAGCCUAGAGUGGUGGAGAGGGAGGCGGAAUUCCUGGUGUAGAGGUGAAAUUCGUAGAUAUCAGGAGGAACAUCGGUGGCGAAGGCGGCCUCCUGGACACUUACUGACGCUGAGACGCGAAAGCGUGGGGAGCAAACAGGAUUAGAUACCCUGGUAGUCCACGCCGUAAACGAUGAGUGCUAGAUGUCGCGGGUAUUGACCCCUGCGGUGUCGUAGCUAACGCGUUAAGCACUCCGCCUGGGGAGUACGGCCGCAAGGCUAAA